rnacentral:lncRNA from 1 species
CUGCGCCUGCGGACUUUCCCUCGCCGAAGCCGCGCCCUACACCAGCCGGAAGGACGUAUAAAUACUCGCGCCCGCGCUGGGCCGUCCCGCUUGUGUCCAGGAACCCGUGGCGACGUUGGCGUGUUCGGGUUCCCCUGGAUAUGGACGUUGCCGCCGCCUCCCGCAAGAAUUGUCCUCUUUUCUCAAAUAAAGUGAUUUAACCUAACUUAUCGUA